CAACACUGAAUUCACAAAUUCAACGAUUGAAUGCUGAAGGUAGAAUGUUACUAUUCGGAGGAAUGAUGGCUGAAGUGUUCCAAGCGAUGAUUCAGAUGUUAGCCUCUGAACCUUCUGAUGUUAUGCUAAAUCAUUUUAAAUACGCAGAAUAUGCGUUAGAAAAUAGACAUGCUGUUCUAAAGAG